CUUUGGUACCGGUGUUUGUCACAGUAAGGGAGAUGGAACUAGAAGAUCAACACUGGAAUUGCAAGAGCACACGACAGGCCCAACCUUUCUUAUGAGUUCUAGGGAUCAAUAUUUUUCUGGAUGCUUAUGAGGCAAACACUUUACCAACUGAACUGUCUUCCCAACACACAGACACACACAUGCACAAACAGUCACACACAGGCACACACCAGGACUAUAAAUGCCAAGCCACAGUUACAUGCUUGAAUAAUUUUCUGAUAGCAAACGUCUUAGUUUGCCACACCACCUCCAGUAGGAUGUGUGUGACAAGUUCCAUAGACUGAGGCGAUUGACCUCAAAACGGGGAGGCCUCCUGGAACCCGUUGUGGAACUCUUCGCCAGAGAAAAUAAUAUUGAGCCAUAGUUCUCAUGGCAAUCUAUCUGUUUUGUUUUCUCUUAUUCCUUUUCUUAUUUACAUAUUUACAUGUUCCUAGCCAAGAUCUUAAGCGAGAAUAAUGGGCAAGAAACCAUUCCUUGAGAUGGGGCCACUAACAUGACCUUAUCCCCGGGGAAACCAACGCUUUACUUUUUAAAUCAUUUACAAAACUAUUAUGAUAGAUAAAAAUUUUCCCAAUAACAAAAUUUCAUACAGCUACAUGUGUGUCAUCAGAGGUGGGUUUUGGUAUAUGGUAAAGAAAGCCUAAAUUAAAAAGAAUUAAAAUGGUUUAAAUUUAUACAUUGAAGAUUUAUAAAAAAUUAGGCAGAUGUUACAUAAUAAUUGACCAUGGGGCUAGAGAGUUAGCUCAGCGUUUAAGAGCACUGACCAUUAAAAAUUUAUUAACCUGCUCCUGGAAAUAUGCCACUAGCCUUGGAUAACAGCCU
rnacentral:lncRNA from 1 species